UUUGAUCAUUGGCUCAAGACGAACGCUGGCGGCGUGCUUAACACAUGCAAGUCGAACGAUGAAGCCUAGCUUGCUAGGUGGAUUAGUCGGCGAACGGGUGAGUAAUACGUGAGUCGACCUACCUUUUGACUCUGGGAUAAGCCUGGGAAACUGGGUCUAAUACCGGAUACGACCAAUCUCCGCAUGGGGUGUUGGUGGAAAGCGUUAUGGAGUGGUUUUAGAUGGGCUCACGGCCUAUCAGCUUGUUGGUGAGGUAAUGGCUUACCAAGGCGACGACGAGUAGCCGGCCUGAGAGGGUGACCGGCCACACUGGGACUGAGACACGGCCCAGACUCCUACGGGAGGCAGCAGUGGGGAAUAUUGCACAAUGGGCGCAAGCCUGAUGCAGCGACGCCGCGUGAGGGAUGACGGCCUUCGGGUUGUAAACCUCUGUUAGCAUCGAAGAAGCGAAAGUGACGGUAGGUGCAGAGAAAGCGCCGGCUAACUACGUGCCAGCAGCCGCGGUAAUACGUAGGGCGCGAGCGUUGUCCGGAAUUAUUGGGCGUAAAGAGCUUGUAGGCGGUUGGUCGCGUCUGCUGUGAAAGGCUGGGGCUUAACCCUGGUUUUGCAGUGGGUACGGGCUAACUAGAGUGCAGUAGGGGAGACUGGAAUUCCUGGUGUAGCGGUGGAAUGCGCAGAUAUCAGGAGGAACACCGAUGGCGAAGGCAGGUCUCUGGGCUGUAACUGACGCUGAGAAGCGAAAGCAUGGGGAGCGAACAGGAUUAGAUACCCUGGUAGUCCAUGCCGUAAACGUUGGGCACUAGGUGUGGGGGACAUUCCACGUUUUCCGCGCCGUAGCUAACGCAUUAAGUGCCCCGCCUGGGGAGUACGGCCGCAAGGCUAAAACUCAAAAAAAAUUGACGGGGGCCCGCACAAGCGGCGGAGCAUGCGGAUUAAUUCGAUGCAAACGCGAAGAACCUUACCAAGGCUUGACAUAUACUGGACUGCGUCAGAGAUGGCGUUUCCCUUCGGGGCUGGUAUACAGGUGGUGCAUGGUUGUCGUCAGCUCGUGUCGUGAGAUGUUGGGUUAAAGUCCCGCAACGAGCGCAACCCUCGUUCUAUGUUGCCAGCACGUGAUGGUGGGGACUCAUAGGAGACUGCCGGGGUCGAACUCGGAGGAAGGUGGGGAUGACGUCGAAAUCAUCGAUGCCCCUUAUGUCUUGGGCUUCACGCGUGCUACGAAUGGCCGGUACGGAGGGUUGCGAUACUGUAAGGUGGAAGCUAUCCCCUAAAAGCCGGUCUCGGUUCGGAAUUGGGGUCUGCGAACUCGACCCCGUGAAAGUUCGGAGUCGCGAGUGAUUCGCGAUUCGGCGGCGGCUGCGGUAAGUCGUUCCCCGGGCCUGCGCGCACCGCCCGUC
rnacentral:rRNA from 1 species